rnacentral:rRNA from 1 species
UACGAAGGGAGCUAGCGUUGUUCGGAAUCACUGGGCGUAAAGCGCACGUAGGCGGAUUUGGCAGUCAGGGGUGAAAUCCCGGGGCUCAACCUCGGAACUGCCUUUGAUACAGCAAGUCUUGAGUUCGAGAGAGGUGGGUGGAAUUCCUAGUGUAGAGGUGAAAUUCGUAGAUAUCGGGAGGAACACCAGUGGCGAAGGCGGCGAUCUGGGCUGAUACUGACGCUGAGGUGCGAAAGCGUGGGGAGCAAACAGG